rnacentral:rRNA from 1 species
CAUAUCAAUAAGCGGAGGAAAAGAAACCAACAGGGAUUGCCCUAGUAACGGCGAGUGAAGCGGCAACAGCUCAAAUUUGAAAUCUGGCCCUCGGGUCCGAGUUGUAAUUUGUAGAGGAUGCUUUUGGCGCGGUGCCUUCCGAGUUCCCUGGAACGGGACGCCUUAGAGGGUGAGAGCCCCGUACGGUUGGACACCAAGCCUCUGUAAAGCUCCUUCGACGAGUCGAGUAGUUUGGGAAUGCUGCUCUAAAUGGGAGGUAAAUUUCUUCUAAAGCUAAAUACCGGCCAGAGACCGAUAGCGCACAAGUAGAGUGAUCGAAAGAUGAAAAGCACUUUGAAAAGAGGGUUAAAUAGCACGUGAAAUUGUUGAAAGGGAAGCGUUUGCGACCAGACCUCUUCCCAGCGGAUCAUCCGGUGUUCUCACCGGUGCACUUCGCUGGGUUUAGGCCAGCAUCGGUUUCCGCCGGGGGAUAAAAGUUAGGGGAACGUAGCUCCCUCGUGGAGUGUUAUAGCCCCUUUCAUAAUACCCCGUCGGGGACCGAGGACCGCGCUUCGGCAAGGAUGCUGGCAUAAUGGUCGUCAACGACCCGUCUUGAAACACGGACCAAGGAGUCGAACAUUUGUGCGAGUGUUUGGGUGUUAAACCCUCACGCGUAAUGAAGGUGAACGUAGGUGAGAGCCCUUGCGGGCGCAUCAUCGACCGAUCCUGAUGUCUUCGGAUGGAUUUGAGUAAGAGCAUAACUGUUCGGACCCGAAAGAUGGUGAACUAUGCGUGGAUAGGGUGAAGCCAGAGGAAACUCUGGUGGAGGCUCGCAGCGGUUCUGACGUGCAAAUCGAUCGUCAAAUCUGCGCAUGGGGGCGAAAGACUUAUCGAACCAUCUA